CCCUCUACCGAAAAAAAGAAGCCCCGUCUCCCAAAUCCUCUGCGGGAUCUUCUCCUCCUCCAACGAAUCCUCCCCCCGCGCAGGUCGCCGUCCCCUGCAGCUCUCUUCCCUUCCUCCCCUGCCGACCUCUCUUCCCUUCCCCUUGCCGUUGUUCCUGCUUUGCCAGCCGCACUUGUCUUCCCGCGGUGAGGGGUCCGGAUCUGCACAGCCCGUGGUGAGGGAGCUGCUCUCCCCGCGGUGAGGGGACCGGAUCUGCGCCGCCCAUGGUGAGGGAGAGCCACGCCGCCCGCGGCGAGGGGACCGGAUCCGCGGCGCCCGCGGUGAGGGCACCGGAUCUGCGCCUGCCGUGGUUUGGGAGCCACGCAGCGUCCUCCUGAUCUGAAGGCCACCGGAGCUACCUGCGACACUGGAGGGAGCUUGGAGGCUCCACCGAUGGUGACCCUCCGAAGAUCUGACCAAUAUUGCACUUAUGGUUCUCCAAAGAGAAUCAAGCAAACAGAUAUGAAUUGAGAGAUAAAAUUGUCAAUCUCUGGAUACAUUUAUAUUGCUCACCUAUUUACAGUUUUAUUUUUGUACAUAUGACACAGCUAUCACUAUAUAUGUAGUUUCAUUGUGUUUCUUUCUCUCUGAAGCCCAAAGAUGAUCAUUAUGAUGUAAAAAAAUGCCUUGCCAUCUGUUUUCUCUCCAAGCUAGCAAACAACUGCCCUACUGUUCUUGCAGGUUUGCUAUAAUCAAGAUGGUUGUGACCUUCUGUUCUACUCCCUCCGUUCCAUAAUUCUUGUCAAAAUAUUACAUGUAUCUAGACACUUUUUAGGAAUAGAUACAUCCAUUUUUAGGCAAAUUCGAGACAAGAAUUAUGGAACGUAGGGAGUAGAUCAUAUGCCUAGCUUUAUUGAGUUUAUUGUAAUUACUAACUACUAACAGAGAAUCAUCAAUCUGCCUUCCAGAAUCUUAAAUAAACAAUUUUCUGCAUAUUUCAGAUCAUGCAACGCUAACACCAUAGAUGAGUGCAAAUCUUGUACAACUGGAUCAGAUUUUGGAUCAUAUUCAGUUCUGGGAAGGUAACAGCCUUGGACCACAAUGCGAACUCAGAUGUGUCUGUGAGUCUUGAAUAUGGAGCUUGCUGCAUAUCAGUUUAUCACUAAUGGGCAGCCAACAACAACUUGAAUCUGGAGUUGUUGUGUGUAUUUUUAAUACAAUCUUUUUGGCUAUAGUCUAGUUGACUUGCACAAAAUGUAGCUGCUGAUAUGAUGAUGUAUAAUACAUAUUUAUAUAUUAUUUGAAUGAAGGAUGAGAUCUGACUCAA